GGUUUCAUGGCGAAGUGGUCAUCGCGCCUGCCCUGCACGCUGAGUUUGUAGUAUAGCGGUAGUAGGGCAGGAGGCCCCAGUUCGAUUCUGGGUGGAACCC